AGAGUUUGAUCCUGGCUCAGGACGAACGCUGGCGGCGUGCCUAACACAUGCAAGUCGAGCGGAGGAUUCAAGAUGUUUACAUUGAGAAUCCUUAGCGGCGGACGGGUGAGUAACACGUGGGUAACCUGCCUCAAAGUGGGGGAUAGCCUUUCGAAAGGAAGAUUAAUACCGCAUAAGCCUCCGGUGCCGCAUGGCGCUGAAGGAAAAGGAGCAAUUCGCUUUGAGAUGGACCCGCGGCGCAUUAGCUAGUUGGUGAGGUAACGGCUCACCAAGGCCACGAUGCGUAGCCGACCUGAGAGGGUGAUCGGCCACAUUGGAACUGAGACACGGUCCAGACUCCUACGGGAGGCAGCAGUGGGGAAUAUUGCACAAUGGGCGAAAGCCUGAUGCAGCAACGCCGCGUGAGUGAUGAAGGCCUUCGGGUCGUAAAGCUCUUUGAUCAGGGAUGAUAAUGACAGUACCUGAAAAACAAGCCACGGCUAACUACGUGCCAGCAGCCGCGGUAAUACGUAGGUGGCGAGCGUUGUCCGGAAUUACUGGGCGUAAAGGAUGCGUAGGUGGAUAUUUAAGUGGGAUGUGAAACCCCCGGGCUCAACCCGGGAACUGCAUUCCAAACUGGGUAUCUAGAGUGCAGGAGAGGAAAGCGGAAUUCCUAGUGUAGCGGUGAAAUGCGUAGAUAUUAGGAGGAACACCAGUGGCGAAGGCGGCUUUCUGGACUGUAACUGACACUGAGGCAUGAAAGCGUGGGUAGCAAACAGGAUUAGAUACCCUGGUAGUCCACGCCGUAAACGAUGGGUACUAGGUGUAGGAGGUAUCGACCCCUUCUGUGCCGCCGUUAACACAAUAAGUACCCCGCCUGGGGAGUACGGUCGCAAGACU
rnacentral:rRNA from 1 species